rnacentral:lncRNA from 1 species
GCCCCUAAAAUCUCUUUGAUGGUCAGCUCACAGUGCCAUUUCUAGGAGGCAGCAAGCCUUUUUUUAAUGAUGGAAAAUAUCAUCCCAUUAAAAUCCAAGUACCAAGCUAGUAUUUCAGAAAGGCAUAUUUCUUUCUUGUCCUAGGGGAAAGCAGGAGAACCAGGGAAGCCAGGCAAGGAUGGAAAGGGCUUGCCAGGAUCUCCUGGACCCAAGGGAGAGCCUGGAGUUCAAGGAUACCAUGGAAGAAAGGUAAGAACAGCAUAUCUGAGAAGCACAGAACUUGAAAAUAAAAGAAGCAUAACAGUAUUUUAAGUGCA